rnacentral:rRNA from 1 species
CCUACGGGUGGCUGCAGUGGGGAAUAUUGCGCAAUGGGCGAAAGCCUGACGCAGCGACGCCGCGUGAGGGAUGAAGGUCUUCGGAUCGUAAACCUCUGUCAGCAGGGAAGAACGGUCACUGUGCUAAUCAGCAGUGAAUUGACGGUACCUGCAAAGGAAGCACCGGCUAACUCCGUGCCAGCAGCCGCGGUAAUACGGAGGGUGCGAGCGUUAAUCGGAAUUACUGGGCGUAAAGCGCUCGUAGGCGGGAGGUCAAGUCAAGGGUGAAAUCCCCGCGCUCAACGUGGGAACUGCCUUUGAAACUGGCAAACUGGAGUGUGUGAGAGGAUAGUGGAAUUCCAGGUGUAGGAGUGAAAUGCGUAGAUAUCUGGAGGAACAUCAGUGGCGAAGGCGACUAUCUGGCACAUAACUGACGCUGAGGAGCGAAAGCGUGGGUAGCAAACAGGAUUAGAUACCCGGGUAGUC